rnacentral:rRNA from 1 species
UCGGGUGACACUAUAUAUCCUCAAUGGACCACUAUUGUGAAGACAAUCCCCAACCUUGUCGGAGAGAAGAGAAAAAGAUUUGCCCAAGAGCAAGAGAGUGCUAGGAAGGACUUCGAGCAUGCCUUUGGUGUUUUGCAAUCUCGAUGGGGCAUUGUUCGGUAUCCUGCUAAGACUUGGAGCACGAAGAAACUGUGGGAGGUGAUGACUGCUUGUGUGAUCAUGCACAAUAUAAUUGUAGAAGGUGAGCGCCCGGAACGUCUCUACGAUCAAGGGUUCCAGUUUCAGGGUGAGAAUGUUGUGCCUGAGCAUGGAGGAGCGGCAACAUCU